rnacentral:lncRNA from 1 species
GACUUCUUAUCUGGAUAGGUACGCCUGUUGUGACCCGGGGAUGAGCAAAUUGUGCACGACCUUGGUAGUGUCCCUUGUUGGGAAGCAGAUACACUGCCCUCUUCAUGAAGGUCCUUGAGUGGUAGGCCCUCGAAUAAGAUAGUAACCCGACCAGACUUUCUAGCAUCCACCAUGGCCCUAACAUAUGUGUCAUAUGUAAUCCAAC